rfam:Triticum aestivum genome assembly, contig: Triticum_aestivum_CS42_TGACv1_scaffold_543611_6DS
UUAAUACUCCCUCCGUCCCAAAAUUCUUGUCUUAAAUGACUUGAUACAUCCACAUCUAGACAAUUUUAAGACAAGAAUUUUAGGACGGAGGGAGUAGCAA